rnacentral:rRNA from 1 species
GCCUAAAGCGUCCGUAGCCUGUUCUGUAAGUUUUCGGUUAAAUCUGUACGCUCAACGUACAGGCUGCCGGAAAUACUGCAGAACUAGGGAGUGGGAGAGGUAGACGGUACUCGGGAGGAAGUGGUAAAAUGCUUUGAUCUCUCGAUGACCACCAGUGGCGAAGGCGGUCUACCAGAACACGUCCGACGGUGAGGGAUGAAAGCUGGGGGAGCAAACCGGAUUAGAUACCCGGGUAGUCCCAGCUGUAAACUAUGCAAACUCAGUGAUGCAUUGGCUUGUGGCCAGUGCAGUGCCGCAGAGAAGUCGUUAAGUUUGCCGCCUGGGAAGUACGUACGCAAGUAUGAAACUUAAAGGAAUUGGCGGGGGAGCACCACAAGGGGUGAAGCCUGCGGUUCAAUUGGAGUCAACGCCAGAAAUCUUACCCGGAGAGACAGCAGAAUGAAGGUCAAGCUGAAGACUUUACCAGACAAGCUGAGAAGUGGUGCAUGGCCGUCGCCAGCUCGUGCCGUGAGGUGUCCUGUUAAGUCAGGUAACGAGCGAGAUCCCUGCCUCUAGUUGCCACCAUUGCUCUCAGGAGCAGUGGGGCGAAUUAGCGGGACUGCCGCAGUUAAUGCGGAGGAAGGAGGGGGCCACGGCAGGUCAGUAUGCCCCGAA